GGAAACUAUGAUGCUGAGCUACCCCAGGAAGCUGAGUGAGCAGGCGAAGUUCUUGGGGACAACUGCAGCACUUCCUGAACAAGGCUGGGCUGAAUGUGAGCAGGACUACUGAGCAUCUCUGCCUUAUUUCUGAGGGUAGUUUUGUAUGUUUCUGUGAAAGCACUCAUGAUGUUCUACCAUUUUCUGGCUCCUACCAGCAAUCCCCCAGCAUCUCCUGCCAUACUUGCUUGCUCUUUGAGACUGUGCCCAGUUUUCUUGUUUCAGGGCUGGGACUAGUGUGAAGACAGGAUCAGGAACAGUGCCAGGAAGAACCCUACUGGAUCCUGAGCCAAAGAUUCAAUAUGAAGCUCUCAAAAAAUAUAUCAAAUUCUUUUUCCGGAGAAGAAAGGAGACCUGGAGACACUAUGAUGUGUGUCUGCUACCAUUAACUCAUGUUGCGUCAAGAGAACACAACACCUUGAGGAAGCAGAGAGGAAUCAGUCCCUACUCUAAAAAAAGAAAACACAAUUCCAACAUUUGUCUACUCUUCAAAAUGCAAAGAAGCAAUUGUCUGAACUGUUUCCAGAAAGUUGCCUUGGUGAAUGUCACACGUCAGCCUGUCCUUGUGGGGAUCUUGGUAGGGCUGCUACUCAGUGUGGUUCAUGUGCCAUGGACGACUUCUGGGUUCCUCAACUACACUUCACACCUCUAACCCCUGCGUAGAUACAACCUUCUACUUAUUCAAGCUGUUAUCUCGGUGUGUGGAGACAAUCUGUUUGGAAAUGGUGCAGUUUCAGUUCUAUCCAGUUCAUGAACUGAGUCACUUUCAUCAGGUCUUCCUAGACCUUCUGCAGUGUGUUAUUUCUUUCUAAAGCAUGUUUCUAAAGUACAUGCACUAUUGGAAUGUUUUGUUUUGUUUUGUUGUCUCCCUUUUUCCUUUGUCCUUUCAAAAAAGAUGUCCCUGAAAACCAAACAAAAUCAGACAUGGGCAAACAAUUUAUCCACAGGCUCACUCCUUAGUUUUCUUUCUGUUGUUUUUGUGUUUGUGAACCUGGGGCAAUGUUUAUUUUCAUGGAGAAUAUAGCUUGGGGGUAAAAACAAAAAAAAACUUUCAAAUUCUGUAAUUUUUCUUAUUGAACAUACUUGUAUUUUUUU